CUCCUUCCUGUUGGGGUUUGGGGGGGGAGGCCGUCACCGUGUGAGCUGAGGAGCUCCUGGACGACCGCUGCAUGUUCUCAGCAAGGCAGGACCCAUUGGGCUGCUUAGAAAUGCACACAUCAGAGCCCAGGACCAGUGCUUGUCCACAGCAGGACAGACAUCGAGUCUGCAAAAUGGCUUUUCCAUGGAAUAUGUCACAACUCCACCGGGCAGGGAAGCUCUCCAAGAAGCAGAAACACAUUUUACCCAUGUGGAAAAGAUCAGACAGAAAUGUUCUAAGUACCUGCUGAGUAACUGGGUUUUCCAUGCAGUUCCGAUUCGCACAGACUCGUGGUGGCUUUUACUCUGUGAAGAACACAGAUAACAGCAAGAUGAUGUGUGGAUUAAACAUGCAUCGAAGGUAGAAAUUAAUAAUGACAGAAAUAACUCACUCUUGUUUAAUUCUUUAUAGCCUGGAAAGUUAUUUUCUCAGUUAUAGAUUUACUGAAAAUCAUGUCACUUUUCAGGCCAAUGAAGGGCUCAUGAAUUUGCUUCAGAAAGUACAAGGAUAAAGUCAUAGAUGAUUUUUAGAGCUGAUGUCGUUUCCUGGAAGGCCAGAAAGAAAAUGCAGUCCAGUCUCCUGACUCCAGGUAGUUGUGCUCUAGGAAGUGAACACUGAGGUUGUGAGGACCAGCUCACGUUGGAAAUGUGUGUGUGCCCUCAUACACAUCACGGUGAUCCGAAUCUGAAAUCCUAACAGCUCACCCUGGUACAUUCUAUUUCCUUUUGUUUUUCAAAAGAGAAGCGUCAAGUGGCGCUGCCCCACCAGCGGGUGCCAGAGUUGGGUUCAAGCCCAACUGACUGGCCCCCCGGCCACGCCCACGAGCUGCCCUUCUCUCUGUACUCUGGGCACCUCCAGGAGAGCCAGGACCAAAGUCUGGGCAGGAGCCGUGUCCAGCACAAGACUCACCGUGCCCCAUGUGUGUCAGUGUAUGGCUGCAAGGCACAGGGUGUGUUGAUGUGGGGUCCCGGUGAAUUACAGUGAGCAGAGGAAUUCACAGAAUGGGCUUCAGGAACAGCAGGAUCAAGAUCAUGUCACAAAACCCCUGUGGGAAAAGCUGUGGGAGACUGGGUGGCUGCUGGGGGCCACCAGAGGUCAUAGGGGGCCACGGCGGCUGCUGCCACUGCCUCGGGGCUCUGGUUCUGCGGCGUGCACCUUGCAUCUUAUACCACUGUGGUGCUGAGGGCUGGCGGACCGCAGGGUGUAUCCUGGAAGCUGGCUUCUGAAUCCAGCUCGGAGCACGGUGGUGAGAAUUCCAGAAGCCUUGGGUGGGUGGGAGUCAGCAUUCUUGGCUUGGCAAGUUUUCUUCUCCCUUCU